CAGCCACAGCGACCCCUGCUGCUGUUGCUGCUGCUGCUGGCCUGCCAGGUCCCCUCCGCUCAGGUGAUGGACUUCCUGUUUGAGAAGUGGAAGCUCUACGGUGACCAGUGUCACCACAACCUGAGCCUGCUGCCCCCUCCCACGGGUGAGCCCCCCACCCAGAGCCUUUCAGCCUGUGCCUGGCCUCAGCACUUCCUGAGUUCUCUUCAUGGGAAGGUUCCUGGGUGCUUAUGCAGCCUUUGAGGACCCCGCCAAGGGGCCCUGUCAUUCCUCAGGCCCCCACCACCGUGGGCAGAGCUGGUGUGCAACAGAACCUUCGACAAGUAUUCCUGCUGGCCGGACACCCCCGCCAAUACCACGGCCAACAUCUCCUGCCCCUGGUACCUGCCUUGGCACCACAAAGUGCAACACCGCUUCGUGUUCAAGAGAUGCGGGCCCGACGGUCAGUGGGUGCGUGGACCCCGGGGGCAGCCUUGGCGUGAUGCCUCCCAGUGCCAGAUGGAUGGCGAGGAGAUUGAGGUCCAGGUCAGUGGGCGGCAGGCAGGCGCGGUGGGGCUGGAUGGGAACGGGCAUGGGGGCCCCUGCCUGGCCCUCACAGGCCACUGUAACUCGCAGAAGGAGGUGGCCAAGAUGUACAGCAGCUUCCAGGUGAUGUACACAGUGGGCUACAGCCUGUCCCUGGGGGCCCUGCUCCUCGCCUUGGCCAUCCUGGGGGGCCUCAGGUAGGAUUCCGCC
rnacentral:lncRNA from 1 species